rnacentral:tRNA from 1 species
GGGCGGUUAGCUCAGUUGGUAGAGCACACCCUUCACACGGGUGGGGUCACAGGUUCGAGUCCUGUACCGCCCA